GGGUUGUGAGGUUAAGCGACUAAGCGUACACGGUGGAUGCCCUGGCAGUCAGAGGCGAUGAAGGGCGUGCUAAUCUGCGAUAAGCGCCGGUAAGGUGAUAUGAACCGUUAUAACCGGCGAUACCCGAAUGGGGAAACCCAGUGUGAUUCGUCACACUAUCAUUAACUGAAUCCAUAGGUUAAUGAGGCGAACCGGGGGAACUGAAACAUCUAAGUACCCCGAGGAAAAGAAAUCAACCGAGAUUCCCCCAGUAGCGGCGAGCGAACGGGGAGGAGCCCAGAGCCUGAAUCAGCAUGUGUGUUAGUGGAAGCGUCUGGAAAGGCGCGCGAUACAGGGUGACAGCCCCGUACACAAAAGCGCAUGUGCUGUGAGCUCGAUGAGUAGGGCGGGACACGUGGUAUCCUGUCUGAAUAUGGGGGGACCAUCCUCCAAGGCUAAAUACUCCUGACUGACCGAUAGUGAACCAGUACCGUGAGGGAAAGGCGAAAAGAACCCCGGCGAGGGGAGUGAAAAAGAACCUGAAACCGUGUACGUACAAGCAGUGGGAGCACAGGUUUACCUGUGUGACUGCGUACCUUUUGUAUAAUGGGUCAGCGACUUAUAUUCUGUAGCAAGGUUAACCGUAUAGGGGAGCCGUAGGGAAACCGAGUCUUAACCGGGCGUUAAGUUGCAGGGUAUAGACCCGAAACCCGGUGAUCUAGCCAUGGGCAGGUUGAAGGUUGGGUAACACUAACUGGAGGACCGAACCGACUAAUGUUGAAAAAUUAGCGGAUGACCUGUGGCUGGGGGUGAAAGGCCAAUCAAACCGGGAGAUAGCUGGUUCUCCCCGAAAGCUAUUUAGGUAGCGCCUCGUGAAUUCAUCUCCGGGGGUAGAGCACUGUUUCGGCUAGGGGGCCAUCCCGGCUUACCAACCCGAUGCAAACUGCGAAUACCGGAGAAUGUUAUCACGGGAGACACACGGCGGGUGCUAACGUCCGUCGUGAAGAGGGAAACAACCCAGACCGCCAGCUAAGGUCCCAAAGUCAUGGUUAAGUGGGAAACGAUGUGGGAAGGCCCAGACAGCCAGGAUGUUGGCUUAGAAGCAGCCAUCAUUUAAAGAAAGCGUAAUAGCUCACUGGUCGAGUCGGCCUGCGCGGAAGAUGUAACGGGGCUAAACCAUGCACCGAAGCUGCGGCAGCGACACUAUGUGUUGUUGGGUAGGGGAGCGUUCUGUAAGCCUGUGAAGGUGUGUCGUGAGGCAUGCUGGAGGUAUCAGAAGUGCGAAUGCUGACAUAAGUAACGAUAAAGCGGGUGAAAAGCCCGCUCGCCGGAAGACCAAGGGUUCCUGUCCAACGUUAAUCGGGGCAGGGUGAGUCGACCCCUAAGGCGAGGCCGAAAGGCGUAGUCGAUGGGAAACGGGUUAAUAUUCCCGUACUUGGUGUUACUGCGAAGGGGGGACGGAGAAGGCUAUGUUGGCCGGGCGACGGUUGUCCCGGUUUAAGCGUGUAGGUGUGUGUUCCAGGUAAAUCCGGUUCACUUUAACACUGAGGCGUGAUGACGAGGCACUACGGUGCUGAAGCAACAAAUGCCCUGCUUCCAGGAAAAGCCUCUAAGCAUCAGGUAACAUCAAAUCGUACCCCAAACCGACACAGGUGGUCAGGUAGAGAAUACCAAGGCGCUUGAGAGAACUCGGGUGAAGGAACUAGGCAAAAUGGUGCCGUAACUUCGGGAGAAGGCACGCUGACACGUAGGUGAAGUGAUUUACUCACGGAGCUGAAGUCAGUCGAAGAUACCAGCUGGCUGCAACUGUUUAUUAAAAACACAGCACUGUGCAAACACGAAAGUGGACGUAUACGGUGUGACGCCUGCCCGGUGCCGGAAGGUUAAUUGAUGGGGUCAGCGCAAGCGAAGCUCCUGAUCGAAGCCCCGGUAAACGGCGGCCGUAACUAUAACGGUCCUAAGGUAGCGAAAUUCCUUGUCGGGUAAGUUCCGACCUGCACGAAUGGCGUAAUGAUGGCCAGGCUGUCUCCACCCGAGACUCAGUGAAAUUGAACUCGCUGUGAAGAUGCAGUGUACCCGCGGCAAGACGGAAAGACCCCGUGAACCUUUACUAUAGCUUGACACUGAACAUUGAGCCUUGAUGUGUAGGAUAGGUGGGAGGCUUUGAAGUGUGGACGCCAGUCUGCAUGGAGCCGACCUUGAAAUACCACCCUUUAAUGUUUGAUGUUCUAACGUGGACCCGUAAUCCGGGUUGCGGACAGUGUCUGGUGGGUAGUUUGACUGGGGCGGUCUCCUCCUAAAGAGUAACGGAGGAGCACGAAGGUUGGCUAAUCCUGGUCGGACAUCAGGAGGUUAGUGCAAUGGCAUAAGCCAGCUUGACUGCGAGCGUGACGGCGCGAGCAGGUGCGAAAGCAGGUCAUAGUGAUCCGGUGGUUCUGAAUGGAAGGGCCAUCGCUCAACGGAUAAAAGGUACUCCGGGGAUAACAGGCUGAUACCGCCCAAGAGUUCAUAUCGACGGCGGUGUUUGGCACCUCGAUGUCGGCUCAUCACAUCCUGGGGCUGAAGUAGGUCCCAAGGGUAUGGCUGUUCGCCAUUUAAAGUGGUACGCGAGCUGGGUUUAGAACGUCGUGAGACAGUUCGGUCCCUAUCUGCCGUGGGCGCUGGAGAACUGAGGGGGGCUGCUCCUAGUACGAGAGGACCGGAGUGGACGCAUCACUGGUGUUCGGGUUGUCAUGCCAAUGGCACUGCCCGGUAGCUAAAUGCGGAAGAGAUAAGUGCUGAAAGCAUCUAAGCACGAAACUUGCCCCGAGAUGAGUUCUCCCUGAGACUUAGAGUCUCCUGAAGGAACGUUGAAGACGACGACGUUGAUAGGCCGGGUGUGUAAGCGCAGCGAUGCGUUGAGCUAACCGGUACUAAUGAACCGUGAGGCUUAACCUUACAACGCCGAAG
rnacentral:rRNA from 1 species